AAAAGUUUUCUCUGCAAUCAUGGUCGCCAAUCCUCAGUUGCCUUCUCUAUGCGUGCGUUAUGCCAAAAAGAGUGACAAUAGCUCCCAAAUCAACACCUUAACUUUGAGCGCCUAUAUCUCCUUCAUAUAAACUCUAAAUCAUACAAGAUUUGUACCAAAACCAUAGCCAAAAUCCUAAAAUUGUUGAUCCUAGCCUUCAAAGCUCGAAUGGCUCCGAAAAACUAACCCUAAUCUAUGAUAUGGCCUUAGGCAGCCUCCUCAAAGCCUAUUGGUCUUGAUUUAAGAAGAUGAUGGUCAAAAAACAAGUUUCUCUAGCUAUAAUAAGAAUUAUGUGAUUAAAAUCUU
rnacentral:lncRNA from 1 species